rnacentral:rRNA from 1 species
GAUGAACGCUGGCGGCGUGCCUAAUACAUGCAAGUCGAGCGAACGGACGAGAAGCUUGCUUCUCUGAUGUUAGCGGCGGACGGGUGAGUAACACGUGGAUAACCUACCUAUAAGACUGGGAUAACUUCGGGAAACCGGAUCUAAUACCGGAUGAUAUUUUGAACCGCAUGGUUCACAAGUGAAAGACGGUCUUGCCGUCACCUAUAGAUGGAUCCCCGCUGCAUUAGCUAGUUGGUAAGGUAACGGCUUACCAAGGCAACGAUGCAUAGCCGACCUGAGAGGGUGAUCGGCCACACUGGACCUGAGCCACGGUCCAGCCUCCUACGGGAGGCAGCAGUAGGGAAUCUUCCGCAUUGGGCGAAAGCCUGACGGAGCACCGCCGCGUGAGUGAUGAAGGUCUUCGGAUCGUAAAACUCUGUUAUUAGGGAAGAACAUAUGUGUAAGUAACUGUGCACAUCUUGACGGUACCUAAUCAGAAAGCCACGGCUAACUACGUG